UCCCGAGCGUUNUCCGGAUUUAUUGGGCGUAAAGGGAGCGCAGGCGGUUUAGUAAGUCUGAAGUUAAAGGCAUUGGNUCAACCAAUGUAUGCUUUGGAAACUNUCAGACUUGAGUGCAGAAGGGGAGAGUGGAAUUCCAUGUGUAGCGGUGAAAUGCGUAGAUAUAUGGAGGAACACCGGUGGCGAAAGCGGCUNUCUGGUCUGUCACUGACGCUGAGGCUCGAAAGCGUGGGUAGCGAACAGGAUUAGAUACCCUGGUAGUCCACGCCGUAAACGCUGAGUGCUAGGUGUUAGGUCCUUUCCGGGACUUAGUGCCGACGCUAACGCAUUAAGCACUCCGCCUGGGGAGUACGACCGCAAGGUUGAAACUCAAAGGAAUUGACGGGGGCCCGCACAAGCGGUGGAGCAUGUGGUUUAAUUCGAAGCAACGCGAAGAACCUUACCAGGUCUUGACAUCCCGAUGCCCGCUCUAGAGAUAGAGUUUUUCUUCGGAACAUCGGAGACAGGUGGUGCAUGGUUGUCGUCAGCUCGUGUCGUGAGAUGUUGGGUUAAGUCCCGCAACGAGCGCAACCCUUAUUGUUAGUUGCCAUCAUUAAGUUGGGCACUCUAGCGAGACUGCCGGUAAUAAACCGGUGGAAGGUGGGGAUGACGUCAAAUCAUCAUGCCCCUUAUGACCUGGGCUACACACGUGCUACAAUGGUUGGUACAACGAGUCGCAAGCCGGUGACGGCAAGCUAAUCUCUGAAAGCCAAUCUCAGUUCGGAUUGUAGGCUGCAACUCGCCUACAUGAAGUCGGAAUCGCUAGUAAUCGCGGAUCAGCACGCCGCGGUGAAUACGUUCCCGGGCCUUGUACACACCGCCCGUCACACCACGAGAGUUUGUAACACCCAAAGUCGGUG
rnacentral:rRNA from 1 species